GCAGCUGUGGCCGAGUGGUUAAGGCGAUGGACUUCAAAUAUAUUGGGUUGGCCCGAAUCCUACCGGCUACG